GACGAACGCUGGCGGCGUGCCUAAUACAUGCAAGUCGAACGCAGUGGGGACGGGUGAGUAACACGUGGGUAACCUCCCAUCAGAGGGGAUAACACUUGGAAACAGGUGCUAAACCGAUACUGAUGGAUGGACCCGCGGUGCAUUAGCUAGUUGGUGAGGUAACGGCUCACCAAGGCCACGAUGCAUAGCCGAACCGGGAGGGUGGUCGGCCAAAAGGGGAAUGGGAAACGGGCCAGACUCCUACGGGAGGGAGCAGUAGGGAAACUUCGGCAAUGGACGAAAGUCUGAACGAGCAAAGCCGGGGGAGUGAAGAAGGGUUUCGGAUCGUAAAGCUCUGUUGUUAGAGAAGCGGUAACUAACCAGAAAGGGACGGCUAACUACGUGCCAGCAGCCGCGGUAAUUC
rnacentral:rRNA from 1 species